CCUACGGGUGGCAGCAGUGAGGAAUAUUGGUCAAUGGGCGCGAGCCUGAACCAGCCAAGUCGCGUGAGGGAAGACGGUCCUAUGGAUUGUAACCCUCUUUUGUCGGGGAGCAAAAGACGCCACGCGUGGCGUUCCGAGAGUACCCGAACAAAAAGCAUCGGCGAACUCGGUGCCAGCGGCCGCGGUAAUACGGAGGAUGCGAGCGUUAUCCGGUUUUAUGGGGGUUAAAGGGUGCGCAGGCGGAAGAUCAAGUCAGCGGUAAAAGUGAGAGGCUCAACCUCUUCGAGCCGUUGAAACUGGUUUUCUUGAGUGAGCGAGAGGUAUGCGGAAUGCGUGGUGUAGCGGUGAAAUGCAUAGAUAUCACGCAGAACUCCGAUGGCGAAGGCAGCAUACCGGCGCUCAACUGACGCUCAGGCACGAAAGUGUGGGUAUCGAACAGGAUUAGAUACCCUUGUAGUC
rnacentral:rRNA from 1 species